AAACAACAUUGUGAACAAGGAAGUGUCUAUCGUAGUCUCCUCAGUGUCUAGCACAGUUUGUUCACUAACGCAUGGUCUCUAGGCAUUCAAGUGUUCAGUUUUUGUCAGUGUUUUAAGAUAGUGUGAGAUAGACGUUCAGCCUAACCCAGAAUAUGAAAUCGACGCUGAUGCUUGUGUGUGGAGUCUUUCUUUUUGGUCUUGGCGUGGCCGAAGAUAACUUCGACUAUGACUAUAACGCAACAGAUGGGUAUGGCUAUGGCUAUGGCUAUGAGGAUUGGGAAGAACUUCAGAAUGCCACAGUGCCUCCUCAAACCCCUGGAAGUAUUGGAUUAACUGCAUGCUUGCUCUUCUUCUUCUACUUCUUCUUCUGCAACUGAGAGUAGCUGCAAGAUCAUGGCACAACAUUGUCUCUUAAUCUUCUCACCACAGCCAAACCUGAGCUGCCAAGACAUUGUUUAAUCCAAAUAUUUGUAUAUGAGGAUUACUGUAAUCAGAUUUUAUACUUUGAGUAUCUGGAAUAGUUGAGGAAAUGUACAACAUGCAAACUUCCCUGGCACCUCCUCCUUAGUGUCUGAGAAACAACUUAAAUGCAGUAUGUGCUGCCCAUGCUUAAAAUAAGCAGAUCGAUCAAACUGUGUAAAUUAUAUGAUUUUGUUAUAGAUGCUGCAGGGUAUAAUAUUGUCAGGCCUGAUUGGCUGUACCUGUCUGUCAAU